CUCGUCACUUUUUCUCCUUUUUUGUGUUAGGGCGAGAGUUUUUCUUCUGCUCCUAACGGGAUUGUAGAGGUAUAGAGGAGUUGCUGAGGGGCUUUUCCCAUCAUCCGGUCUCAAACGACCAGAUCUUCAUUUGUGUCAGGAUGAGGUUCUCCUCCUGUUCCUGACACAAUCAAUUUUAGGUCAUGUUAGGAUGAGAUUUUCCUCCUGCUCCUAACAGGGCUGCG
rnacentral:lncRNA from 1 species